UAGAGAGAAUCCUCCACCCUUGCUUCCAAGCAUCACUAAGUCAAAGCAAUGAAGCUUCCCAAAGCCAAUGCCACCAAACUUUUUCGCAACAUAAAGCCGCUCCGCGAAGCCUAGUGAAGUCACGUAGAGUUACUCGAUUUCGAGCUCCACCAAUACGAGUUCAUCAUCCUCUGAAGAUCGCCACACGUACUAAGAGGAAGGAGGGAGACACUUAGACAGUAAACCAGGAGUGCCUGCGCUAUCGAUUUAAGCAUAACCUCCUUGCUUGCCCGGGAAAGAAGCCUAUUCUUAUAGAGCCUGUCUCAGAUAAAACAGAACACUUGCUUCCUGUUAUGGCCAAUAAGUGAUAGGAGACCCAAAUAUCGACCAUGCUUGAUUAGAGCCUCAACCCCCAACAACGAAUGCAUCAUUUGUCUAUCAACCAAAGAGGUAUUCGAGCUGAACAAGACACCAGAGUUUUGGAAUUUAACUGCCUGACCCGAGGCGGCUUCAUAGCUGGCAAGAAUAAGUUUCACGACACUCAGACUCUUGAGCCUGAAAAAAAGGAGAAAUUAUUGCGACAGAUCGGAAUACCAUGCAGAUCACCUCGAAGCUCAGCUUGUCUGAACAGACAACUGAAGCCUUUAGCCCAUAGAAUAAACAAGUAGUGAGAUAGCGGCACUCAUCCCUAACAGUGUGCUUAACAGUAGUGGCACACAUCAUUAGCCAAUUAACCCAGUGCAAACCAAACCUGAAUUUCAUCAGAAUAAUCUUCAGAAAAUCCUAAUCAACGUGAUCAUAGGCCUUGCUAAUGUCAAUUUUCAAGGCAACCUCCCUUAGCCUGCCGUGCCCCUUAUUCAUAUGAUGCUAUAUCUCAAAUGCCACUAUAACGUUGUCCGUAACUAAGGGCCCGUUCUUCUCUGCUUUUUAAACGGACUUUUGCAACAAAAAGUCCUUUUCUCUUAAACGCAAGGAAGAACGGCCAUCGUUUCAGAAUAUUUUUCACCAUCAAAGAAGUGCUUCUUGGCUGAUGGAGAAGUUAAAAUUUUCAACUUUUCUUCAGCCAAAAGUCCGUUUGGCUGAUAAUUUCCCAUUUUAACCUGUCUUCUCCCCCAACAAAGUUUCUCUUCUCUGGUUCUUUGGAGCUUCCUAGAAGGUACGCUUCCUAGAAGUAAUUCGUAAUCUUUUUCUCUGUUUCUGAAAUUUCACUUCCCCAAUUCACAACCCUAACAUGUUUCUCUAAUCAGACUUCAAUCCAGACUUCAAUCUUUUUCUCUGUUUUUGAAAUUUUCUCUCUUCUGUUUGGCUGUGGAGGAAAAAAAAAGGGGCAUAUGACGGACUUUUUAGAAAUCUUUUGUUCUCUGGUUUUCUUUCCUUAUUUAAAAAAAAAAUAGUUGUUGAUUUUGAUUGGUUGCUAUUGUUUAUUCCCCUCCGAAAAUUUUAUUCUCUUUGACAAUGUUCUCUUCAUCCUGUUCCAUUUCCAACUUAUAACUUCACAUAUUUAUAUUGCAUUUCUUUGGUAUUGACGAUGAGGGUGUUCUUAAUUUCUCGGGGCAUUGAAGGAGACAUUUAGAAUGAAAAAUGAGUUAUUUAGAAUUGGAAUUGAGAAUGUUCAUUAGAUUUGAGGAAAAUGGUGGAAGGGAAGAAAGAGGUUAAAGGAGAUGGUUCUAUGCCGUUUGUUACUUUUGUGUCCCUGGAUAAUGUGAUUUCUUGUGAGAGAGAAAGUUAAGAAACUUCAGUUUUCUGCAGAUCGAGCCAAUGAGAUAUAUAAGAAGGUGGAAGAUCAGAAGUCUAGCAGAGGAAGAAACCAAGAUGCAUUGUUGGCUGCUUGCCUAUACAUUGCUUGUAGACAAGAGGACAAGCCUCGCACUGUCAAGGAAAUUUGCUCUGUUGCCAAUGGAGCCACAAAAAAAGAAAUUGGCCGAGCAAAAGAAUACAUGUGAAACAACUGGGAUUGGAGACUGGCCAGUCUGUGGAGAUGGGAACCAUACAUGCUGGUGACUUCAUGAGGCGUUUUUGUUCCAAUCUCGGUAUGAAUAAUCAAGCAGUUAAAGCUGCCCAGGAAUCAGUUCAGAAGUCUGAGGAGUUUGAUAUAAGGCGAAGCCCGAUAUCAAUUGCAGCUGCUGUUAUUUAUAUCAUACACAACUGUCUGAUGACAAGAAGCCUCUUGAGGUUUGAUAUUUCGAUAUCCCAUUGGAAACCGAAGAGUGUGUUAAGAACUCCAACACUUUGGUUAAACAUGGUGCUAAAAGAGGGCUCUUCGAGUUGCCCCCGGAUCAUCAUAAGGAAUUAGAAACCGAGUUAAAGAAGAUGGCGCCUGUUUCUGCUGUUAUUUAAGUAACAUUUUCAUUAUUACUACUACUACUUUGGCCUUGUUUCUGCAUCUUUCAUGGUGUCUUCAACUAGGUUUUGGUUAUGUUUGAUUCUUUGAUGUUGAAAACAUGAAUCCGAUCUUUCCUUAAAAAGAAAUAUUAGAUUUGAGAA